rnacentral:rRNA from 1 species
CAAUAGCGUAUAUUAAAGUUGUUGCAGUUAAAAAGCUCGUAGUUGGAUUUCUGGUCGGAAGCUCCUGUCCUCUGAUGAGCGUACAAGUGCGUCCUACCAUCCUUCUGUUAACCUUUAAGGCUUUCGCGGCUUUCUAGGGGCUAAGAUAUUUUACCUUGAGAAAAUUAGAGUGUUUCAGGCAGGCUAGCGCCGGAAUACAUUAGCAUGGAAUAAUGGAAUAGGACUUUUGCCUCUUCUGUUGGUCAUGAGGCUCGAGUAAUGAUUAAUAGGGAUAGUUGGGGGCAUUAGUACUUAACUGUCAGAGGUGAAAUUCUCGGAUUUGUUAAAGACUAACUUAUGCGAAAGCAUUUGCCAAGGAUGUUUUCAUUAA